GCGCCUGUAGUUCAACUGGAUAGAAUAUCGGAUUUCGGCUCCGACGGUUGAGGGUUCGAAUCCUUCCGGGCGCA
rnacentral:tRNA from 1 species